rnacentral:rRNA from 1 species
GACGAACGCUGGCGGCGUGCUUAACACAUGCAAGUCGAACGGAAAGGCCCUGCUUUUGUGGGGUGCUCGAGUGGCGAACGGGUGAGUAACACGUGAGUAACCUGCCCUUGACUUUGGGAUAACUUCAGGAAACUGGGGCUAAUACCGGAUAGGAGCUCCUGCUGCAUGGUGGGGGUUGGAAAGUUUCGGCGGUUGGGGAUGGACUCGCGGCUUAUCAGCUUGUUGGUGGGGUAGUGGCUUACCAAGGCUUUGACGGGUAGCCGGCCUGAGAGGGUGACCGGCCACAUUGGGAAUGAGAUACGGCCCAGACUCCUACGGGAGGCAGAAGUGGGGAAUAUUGCAAAAUGGGCGGAAGCCUGAUGCAGCAACGCCGCGUGCGGGAUGACGGCCUUCGGGUUGUAAACCGCUUUCGCCUGUGACGAAGCGUGAGUGACGGUAAUGGGUAAAGAAGCACCGGCUAACUACGUG